rnacentral:lncRNA from 1 species
GCCGCAUAGUCAGCUAUAAAAGGCCCCGAUAAGACAAUGUAAAACAAUUCAAACGAGAAAACUAACGGCCUUAUUUAUGUAAAAAAAUGAACGAAAAACAAAUAUGUUACACAUAAACAAACGACAACCACUGAAUUACAGGCUCCUGACUUGGGACAGGCACAUACAUAAAUAAUGUGGCGGAGUUAAACAUGUUAGCGGGAUCCCAACCCUCCCCU